UACGAAGGGGGCUAGCGUUGUUCGGAAUCAUUGGGCGUAAAGAGCGCGCAGGCGGCUUGGCAAGUCGGGUGUGAAAUCCCGGGGCUCAACCCCGGGACUGCAUUCGAUACUGUCAGGCUAGAGGUAGGUAGGGGAGAUCGGAAUUCCUGGUGUAGCGGUGAAAUGCGCAGAUAUCAGGAGGAACACCGGUGGCGAAGGCGGAUCUCUGGGCCUUACCUGACGCUCAGGCGCGAAAGCUAGGGGAGCGAACAGG
rnacentral:rRNA from 1 species